rnacentral:lncRNA from 1 species
GAGCCAAACAAUGUGAAAGUGCACAGCAACUUUUGAUUACCUAACACCAACAUUGAAAUAAACAUGGCAUUAGAAACUUAUCUUGGAGCCUUAAUGUUGAUGAGAACAACUAGCUAGAAUUUUGUCACGUUCAUACCAAGGCUCAAAUUGUCAUAACAAGAGGAAAAGAUUAAACUGCAUAGCAUUUCUAGGCAAGUUUACAUGAUACGUUUCUAACACUGGCUUAACAUUCAUGAUUUUAUAGCAGGACUUUGCAUCCAGAUAGCUUUAUUCUUCACAUGCAAAAAUGCAGGACACCAAAGAUGGUAAAUUGCUUAUUGCUUUUUAAUCCUCAUUCUCGUAUAUGUCGACUUGGUUCACUCCAUUUAUGGAUCCAUUGAAACUACCGGUUGACGGUUGUAUCUUCAAUAAUCAUAUGGAAUUACUGUUCAAG